rnacentral:rRNA from 1 species
AGAGUUUGAUCCUGGCUCAGGACGAACGCUGGCGGCGUGCCUAAUACAUGCAAGUCGAGCGAAUAUCAGGGAGCUUGCUCCCUGAUAUUAGCGGCGGACGGGUGAGUAACACGUGGGCAACCUGCCCUGCAGAUGGGGAUAACUCCGGGAAACCGGGGCUAAUACCGAAUAAUCAGUUCUUCCGCAUGGAAGAACUCUGAAAGACGGUUUCGGCUGUCACUGCAGGAUGGGCCCGCGGCGCAUUAGCUAGUUGGUGGGAUAACGGCCUACCAAGGCGACGAUGCGUAGCCGACCUGAGAGGGUGAUCGGCCACACUGGGACUGAGACACGGCCCAGACUCCUACGGGAGGCAGCAGUAGGGAAUCUUCCACAAUGGACGAAAGUCUGAUGGAGCAACGCCGCGUGAGCGAAGAAGGUUUUCGGAUCGUAAAGCUCUGUUGUGAGGGAAGAACAAGUACAGGAGUAACUGCCUGUACCUUGACGGUACCUCAUUAGAAAGCCACGGCUAACUACGUGCCAGCAGCCGCGGUAAUACGUAGGUGGCAAGCGUUGUCCGGAAUUAUUGGGCGUAAAGCGCGCGCAGGCGGCCUUUUAAGUCUGAUGUGAAAGCCCACGGCUUAACCGUGGAAGGUCAUUGGAAACUGGAAGGCUUGAGUACAGAAGAGGAAAGCGGAAUUCCACGUGUAGCGGUGAAAUGCGUAGAGAUGUGGAGGAACACCAGUGGCGAAGGCGACUCUCUGGUCUGUAACUGACGCUGAGGCGCGAAAGCGUGGGUAGCGAACAGGAUUAGAUACCCUGGUAGUCCACGCCGUAAACGAUGAGUGCUAGGUGUUAGGGGUUUCGAUGCCCUUAGUGCCGAAGUUAACGCAUUAAGCACUCCGCCUGGGGAGUACGGCCGCAAGGCUGAAACUCAAAGGAAUUGACGGGGGCCCGCACAAGCAGUGGA